UGGAAAAACACCAGAGGAAAUCGAAGCUGACAUCCGAUGACCUAAAUAUUUUAGUCCUAGUGAAGCGGUUGAGUAUGGUAUCAUAGACAAGGUGCUAUACAAUGAGAGGAGCAGUGAAGAUCAUGGAGUUGUAUCUGACCU